rnacentral:rRNA from 1 species
CGGAGCGUCGUUUGCGACGCCCAACACACAAAACAAGCGGUGAGUGCUUUGGGGUGGGGUGACUGCGUACCUUUUGUAUAAUGGGUCAGCGACUUAUAUUCUGUAGCAAGGUUAACCGUAUAGGGGAGCCGAAGGGAAACCGAGUCUUAACUGGGCGUUAAGUUGCAGGGUAUAGACCCGAAACCCGGUGAUCUAGCCAUGGGCAGGUUGAAGGUUGGGUAACACUAACUGGAGGACCGAACCGACUAAUGUUGAAAAAUUAGCGGAUGACUUGUGGCUGGGGGUGAAAGGCCAAUCAAACCGGGAGAUAGCUGGUUCUCCCCGAAAGCUAUUUAGGUAGCGCCUCGUGAACUCAUCUUCGGGGGUAGAGCACUGUUUCGGCUAGGGGGUCAUCCCGACUUACCAACCCGAUGCAAACUGCGAAUACCGAAGAAUGUUAUCACGGGAGACACACGGCGGGUGCUAACGUCCGUCGUGAAGAGGGAAACAACCCAGACCGCCAGCUAAGGUCCCAAAGUCACAGUUAAGUGGGAAACGAUGUGGGAAGGCUCAGACAGCCAGGAUGUUGGCUUAGAAGCAGCCAUCAUUUAAAGAAAGCGUAAUAGCUCACUGGUCGAGUCGGCCUGCGCGGAAGAUGUAACGGGGCUAAACUGUGCACCGAAGCUGCGGCAGCGACGCUUAUGCGUUGUUGGGUAGGGGAGCGUUCUGUAAGCCUGCGAAGGUGUCCUGUGAGGGAUGCUGGAGGUAUCAGAAGUGCGAAUGCUGACAUAAGUAACGAUAA